GCAGGGCUGAAUACUGUGUUCUUUUUAUCAGUGGUUUACAUAUCCAGACACCAUGCCAAAAAAAAGCAGUCUUCCCUUUAAAGCGGUUAUAAUCAUAUGCUAAGUUUUUUUCAUACCAUAUCAUUAUUAAAGGGAAAUACAAAG